rnacentral:lncRNA from 1 species
CAGAGAAGACUGAGUAGAGAAUAUUCUUAUAAUUAGAAAAUGGCUGGAUGAGGAAAGAUCAAAGAAAACUAUCAAUCAAACCAUUAAGAAAGAUUAGAAGCUAAAAAAUCUUUGAACCAAAUAUAUACAGGAGUUUAUGGCGCAAUUAAUUUACAUACCCAUCCCCGGAAAAAGACCUAAUUGCUUUUGUACCUGGUCUCAACUCAUCAUUAGAUA